CUAUUUCCGAGUGCAUUUCGAAGACACCAUAAACGCCGAUGUUGUACAACUACAGGACUUUCAAUCUCACUCAAGUUGAUGGGUCAGUUGCACAAUGGUAACUGUAAUUCACACUGGUCACUGGAAAAAGUGCUGCUAUGUGGGAAUAAAUUGUAGUUUCUUCGGAAAAGAUGUUACAGCCAGUGUAUGAAGACUUAACUUUUGGUACGGUCACAGGUGCUCUUGCAAAGACUGAUGGCCUGGCAGCAUAAACUAUUCUAUGAUGUCUUUUCAGAUGUUUGCCAUUCUGAAGGUUUUUUUGACUGAGCAGUGUCAAACAGUCUUCGGAUCCAAGAGAAUCAGUUCCUACAAAUGAACAAAUCACCACAGUCAUAAAAAUUAUGGGCAGAGAUACUUCAUGGAAGAGAGAUAACAUGACAAUACAAAAAUAGGUGUAACCAUGUUGCAAUGGAUUCGGAGGUGAAGUCAUGAGGAGUUGUUGUGAUGGCAGAAGAAUGAGUGAUCAUUUAGCAUUUUGCACAAGGCGUGUACCAGUGGUCCAGUUAAACAGAGAUUACAAACAAAUAAAACUAUAAUUUGAUAUUACAUCUACUUGUGAUUGAUGAAAGUAAUUCAAAGUAUCAUUUGGACAGAUCUGAUGAGUUAACAAAUAUUUGAAAGUACACGAGGAACAUUUGACACACCUUCAGUAUUAAUAUGUUGCAUAGUAAAUAUAAUAAACAAAGUUGAAAAACUGAA